rnacentral:lncRNA from 1 species
UCAUAUAAGGUAUGAGUCUCCUCUGCAACCUUAGCUAUUGAAAACUUUGAGGUGGCAAUGAAAUCCUUGGCAAGGUCAAGGAAUUCCUUUUUUAGCACAUUACUGCUAAACUUAUCAUUGAUAAGCACCUGCCCAAAACACACAAAAGUAUUCAGUAUUUAGAAAAUCAAACCACGGAAAAUAAGUAAUUCAAGUGAAGAUACAAAGGACUUAAAAAACACUAGCUACAGCUUACAUUGUUCUUCAUCUCUUUCAUUAAGUUAAUUGAUGUAGCAGCCACUUGAUCAACAAAAUUGAAAAGGGGAUCCAAAGUUGGAUCGACAACUUGAAUUUCUGAUGUCGACAUAGAGAGGACGAGAGAACAAUAGAGAGAACAAUAAGAGAGGGAGAGAGAGAGCAAUUGAGAGAGAGACUCUCUGUGUGUGUGUGUGUCAAUGUAAUGUGAUAUAUGUAUUGAAACCGGUUUGUAUGGAUGGGUUGUAUGUAUGAGUUGUCAUCUUCACUAUAGCUUGUCAUUCACCAGUCGCUUUCUAUAGCUUGUCAUUCACCUUACAUCAACCUUCUCCAUAGCUUGUCAUUCACCAAUCACUUUCCAUAGCUUGUCAUUCACCUUACAUCAACAUUUUUUAGUUGCUUGUAAAAGCUUCUUUACUUGUAAUUUGGUUUUUGUUUUUCCACUUGUUAGGGCAGAUUUUAGGGAUUGUAUUUGUGUAGUUAUCCUACAAUCUAUUAUAGCUUUCUUUUGGCUCUCUAUAAGAGUUGCCUUCACUCUCUUGUAAUCUUCAUAAUGAAAUAUACAACAAAUAUUGAAACCAAAACUCAACAUGGUAUCAGAGCAGGAACCAUAGGGUCCUGACUCUGUUCAUUUUUUUUUUACUUCUUCAUUUGCUCAUCAUCGAUAGAGAUGGCAGAAGAAAAUGUGUCUAGUGCCGACAGUGCCUCAUCCUCCUCCCCAAAGUUAACCCAAGGGGUUGAGAACAAUCCAAAUCAACGACUCUGCUCGGUGCUACUGAACGAGUUCAACUACCUUCCUUGGUCAAGAGAUGUGUCACUUGCUCUAGAAGGAAGAUCGAAGCUAGGGUUUAUCAAUGGAAGCUCUGAGCCCCCAGAAUCCACUUCACCAACUUACAAUGCAUGACAUGCUACUGAUCAGCUGAUCAUGUCCUGGUUACUUAAUUUCAUGGAGCCAAAACUGUCUGAGCUUUUCAGCUACUCAGAGUCUUCCCUUCUCCUAUGGGAGUCUGUCAAAGACAUGUAUGGCAGCCAAAACAACUCGUUCGCAUCUUUCAAUUGAAGAAAAGUGUGGCUAGUUUAAAGCAAGGUGAUCACUCCUUUGUUCAACACCUUGGAAGUAUGAAAUCCAUGUGGAAUGAACUCGAUAUGUAUCAUCAACACACGACUAAUUCCGCUAUGCUACUGAAGAGGGCUGAUGAAGACAAGGUGUUUCAACUUUUAGCAAGCUUGGGAGCGGAAUAUGAAGACCUGCGUAGUCACUUGUUAAUGACUCAAGAACUGCCCUCUUUUACCAGUGCGUGUCAUGCAGUCCAAAGAGAGGAAACUCGAUGAAGGGUGAUGAACGUUGAGCCCAAAUCCACCUCUGAAGCUAGGGUUUUCACAACAAAUCACAAAGCAACUGGUGAUAGGGUGCUUGGCAAGAAAGCAGACUGGAAAUGUUCUUAUUGCAACAUGAAAGGACAUUUGAGAGAAAAAUGUUGGAUUCUUCAUCCGAAGUUAAAGCCUAAGUUUGAUAGGGAAUGCAGGAUGAUCAAAGAUGGGAAGGGUGGAGUCACUCCAAAAGCAUUUCAUUCAGCUUGUUCCUCAACUGAUGGGAUGGCCAAUUUCUCAACAAAUCAUGUGUCCUUGAUGAACGAGUUUGCUGUUUUUCUUUAAAAGAAGCAAGGAAGCACUGAACCUGAUGAAAUGACACCUGAAAACCCUACUGCAAUGCUAAUGAAAUUUGCUGGAUUCUUGGCUGACUCAGAGAACACAUCGAAAGGUAAUAUUCCAGGUAUUAUCAGUGCCAUUUCCACUGCUCUUAAUGCAAAUGUUACACAUGAUUUUUGGAUUAUUAACUCUGGUGCCACUGAUCAUAUAACUAAUAAACCCUUUAGUCUCCACGAUUUUCAAAGAACUAUUGAUCCAAUUCAUGUAUCUAUUGCAAAUGGGAAAGGGGAACCUAUUCUAGGGAAAGGAAAUAUUAGAUUGCUAAGUGAGCAUACUGAUUCCACUGCUCUCUAUGUACCUUCUUUUCCUUUUCAACUCUUGUCAAUAGGAAAAAUCACAAAAACCUUAGACUGUCUUGCCAUAUUUUCCCCUCACAAUGUUAUUUUUCAGGACCGAGUUACUCAGAAGAAGAUUGGUGAAGGGUUCUUCUUGAAUGGACUCUACUAUCUCUCAAAUGAGUCCAAUUUUGUCAAAAAGCUCAAUGUCAACUUAAGUCAAGUUCAGGAACACCAACUCUGGCAUCAACGCCUUGCCCAUCCCUCAGAACAUGUGAUGACCAAGUUGUUUCCCUUUUUUUGUAAAAACACACUGGAGUGUGAAACUUGUCAAAUGUCAAAAGCCACUAGACUUCAUUUUGUUUCCUCUAAUUCUAGAACUAGUAAACUUUUUGAGCUUGUUUACUCUGAUAUUUGGGGUCCUUCUCGUGUAGAAUCCUUUGAUGGGUAUAGAUAUUAUGUUACAUUUUUUAUGACUAUUCUAGAGUAACCUGGUUGUAUCUUUUAAAACUUAAAAGUGAUUUGUUUGAUGCUACUUUCACAACCUAAUCACCAAUCAAUUUUCAUCUAAGUUAUAUAUGUUAAGAUCAGAUAAUGGUACCGAGUACACUUCCAAUAACAUGAGUAAUUACUUGAGCAAUCAUGGCAUUUUGCAUCAAAAUAGCUGUGUUGGUACACCACAACAAAAUGGUGUGGCAAAGAGAAAGAAUCGAGACUUAUUGGAGAAGACUCGAUCACUUAUGAUCCAAAUGAAUGUUCCUAGAAAUUUUGGUCUCAAGCUCUACUCACUGCCACGUACAUCAUUAAUAGACUGCCAACUUGGGUGUUGAAUACUAAAUCUUCUUUUGAAGUCAUGAAGGGCAGGCCUAUAAACUUGUCUCACCUCAUGACCUUUGGUUGUACUUGUUAUGUGCACAUUUAAGCUUUCCAUCGGGACAAACUCAAUCCUCGAGCUGCCAAAUGUGUGUUUAUGGGAUACGCCAGUUCUCAAAAGGGUUACAAAGUGUACAACCCUAACACAGGGAAGCUGGCAGUCUCUAGAGAUGUGCGAUUUGAUGAAUAUUCACCUUAUUUCCACAAAGGGUUGGAGACUAAUGCUAAUAUGGAAGAUCUUAUGGACCUACUUCCACUACCUAUUCUAGCAAAAAUUCAUGAAGUCACUUCUGCUCAUAUCAGUACUGAUAAUUCUCAACUCACUGAAAGUGUAAUUGAUGCAGUGCCAAGCUCCUCUGGACCAUCAGAAGCUCAACCAAAUCAGCAAGUUAUAAGUGCACCAAGAAGAAAUCCUACACGAGAUAGACAUCCACCAGUGAGGUUACAAAAGUAUGUUACUUACACUGCAAGGCAUCCUAUCUCUGCAGCCAUUUCUUAUCACAGAUUCUCAUCUUCUCAUACUUCUUUCCUUAACAAAUUGUCCCACACUUUCGAACCAAGGAAUUUUCAUGAAGCCACAUGCAUGCUUGAGUGGAAAAAUGCUAUGACUAAAGAGCUUCAAGCUCUGAAUGACAACUAGACAUGGAGUGUGGUGAAUCUUCCAAAUGGCAAGAAGGUCGUGGGAAGUAGGUGGAUAUAUAAGACCAAAUUCAACUCCAAUGGAAGCAUUGAAAGACACAAAGCACGGUUAGUAGCUCAAGGCUUUACUCAAACCUAUGGCAUUGACUAUAAGGAGACCUUUGCUCAUGUUGCCAAAAUGAACACAGUGAGGGUAUUGUUGUAUGUGGCAGUCAAUAAUGUAUGGCCCUUAUUCCAAAUGGAUGUGAAGAAUGCAUUUCUUCAUGGGGAUCUUGAAGAAGAAGUGUACAUGAAGUUGCCUCCUGGUCAUCCAAAAGAAAAUGAACCCAACAAGGUCUGCAGACUUCACAAAGCCAUAUAUGGUCUCAAACAGUCUGCUCAAGCUUGGUAUUCGAAGCUUAGUUCAGUCUUUGAAACUGCAGGGUUCAAAAUGAGUCAUGCUGACUCUUCUUUGUUUGUUCGAAGUAGUAUUGCUAGCAAAUUGGUUGUGCUUAUAUAUGUUGACGACCUAAUUAUUACAGGUGACAAUAUAAGUGAAAUCAAGACGCUUAAGCAGUCACUUCACCAAAAAAUUUGCCAUUAAAGACUUGGGGCUCUUGAAAUACUUUCUUGGAAUUGAGGUGGCUACCUCUUCAAAUGGAUUGUUCUUAAAUCAAAGAAAGUAUGUUCUUGAUCUUCUAGAUGAAGCUAACAUGAUGGAAUGUAAACCAGCUCGGACACCCCUAGCUAGCAAACUUCAGUGGCAUGAAAAAGGUGAACUUCUCUCGGACCCUAGUGUUUAUCAGCGAAUGGUUGUGAAACCUAUUUAUCUCACCAUUACUAGGCCUGAUAUCUCAUAUUCAGUUAGCCUAGCCAAUCAGUUCAUGCACUCUCAUACUCUAGUUCAUUGAGAAAUAGUCAAGAGAAUACUUCGAUAUCUCAAGGGCUCAGUAGGAAGGGGGAUAAUUAUGAAGAACAAUGGGUCAAAUCACAUCUUGGCCUACACAGAUGCUGACUGGGCUAGAAAUGCCCUUGAUCGAAAAUCCACAAUAGGUUUUUGCACAUUUGUUGGAGGGAACCUUGUCACUUGGAAGAGCAAGAAACAAACUGUUAUUGAUCGAUCUAGUGCCGAAGCUGAUUAUAGGGUUAUGGCAGCAACAACAUGUGAACUCAUAUGGUUGAAAGGUCUUCUUUCCGAGCUCGAAUUCACAAGCAUAGCACAUAUGUCCUUGUAUUGUGAUAACCAAGCUGCCAUGCACAUUGUCUCCAAUCCAGUAUUCCAUGAAAGGACCAAACAUAUUGAAGUUGACUGCCAUUAUAAUUGUGCUCAAGUUCAAUCCAAUGUGAUAGACACCGUGUUCACACCCAGCCACGAUCAACUUGUUGAUUUAUUCACAAAAGCACUAGACUCUACUCAGUUUCAGCGUUUGUUGUACAAGCUUGGAUCAAUCAAUCCCCUUGAUCCAGCUUGAGGGGGUGUAUUGAAACCGGUUUGUAUGGAUGGGUUGUAUGUAUGAGUUGUCAUCCUCACUAUAACUUGUCAUUCACCAGUCACUUUCCAUAGCUUGUCAUUCACCUUACAUCAACCGUUUCUCCAUAGCUUGUCAUUCACUAAUCACUUUCCAUAGCUUGUCAUUCACCUUACAUCAACCUUUCUUAGUUGCUUGUAAAAGCUUCUUUACUUGUAAUUUGGUUUUUGCUUUUCCACUUGUUAGGGCAGAUUUUAGGGAUUGUGUUUGUGUAGUUAUCCUACAAUCUAUUGUAGCUUUCUUUUGGCUCUCUAUAAGAGUUGCAUUCAUUCUCUUGUAAUCUUCAUAAUGAAAUAUACAACAAAU